GAUCCUGUAGCUCAGUUGGUAGAGCAUCACACUUUUAAUGUGAGGGUCCUGGGUUCGAGCCCCAGCGGGAUCA
rnacentral:tRNA from 1 species